UUAAACAUACAUAUUUUUUAUAUUUUUCGUAUUUUUCUCAAAAUGUUAAUACGUUACAAGCACGAACUCUUUAGUUUCAUGAUUACACAGCAAUAAUGCUACAUUCAAAUGUUCAAACAACCCCCGCCACACUCUUAUGGCAUUCUCAACUAUUACGGAAACCUACUCAACUGCGAUAAUGGCUUCCUUUCCAUGAAAAAUUGCAAAAAACAGCUUUUGGGCUACAAUUGUUAAUGGGCAGUUCAUACGAAAAUGUUAAGAGCAGAAUUGUAAUAAAUGUACUGCACCCAGAAAGAACGUUUAAUUCUUCAAAGAGAAAACGAAUCUCUAGGACGAUAUGCCAACAGAUCUUGCCGACAAAUACAAGAGCAGUCGGAGACGAUUUUACAUAAAAAAAAACAUUCUUGGAGCAACACUUUAAAACCAGAAAAUAAAUACAAGCUAACCACCAAAUUCUACAUUUUUAACGCCAAAGUUAAAAAUUUGCAAACCUUUAAAUAAAACA